UACGUAGGGCGCAAGCGUUGUCCGGAAUUAUUGGGCGUAAAGAGCUCGUAGGCGGUUUGUCGCGUCUGCCGUGAAAACCCGAGGCUUAACCUCGGGCUGGCGGUGGAUACGGGCAGACUAGAGGUAGGUAGGGGAGAAUGGAAUUCCCGGUGUAGCGGUGAAAUGCGCAGAUAUCGGGAGGAACACCGGUGGCGAAGGCGGUUCUCUGGGCCUUACCUGACGCUGAGGAGCGAAAGCGUGGGGAGCGAACAGG
rnacentral:rRNA from 1 species